GAUCAUUAUAUCGUAAGGUUUAGUAUUUUUUGUAAUAGAAAAGGAGUUCAACUGUGAUGAAUACUUUGUAAAGUUGUUUAUUACAUGUUUGUAACUUUAGUUAUGCUGCAUUGAGCUUUUUUGUAGCAUUUGAAGAGCAUAAAAAAACCACAGUUGUGGUUGUAUUGAUUACCCCCAGAGUGCACAGUUUAAAAAUAAUUUCAAAGAAUUUCCUUACAAAAGUAACAUCCUAGACUUGCUUGACAAUAGAGGCCAUCCUAUACACCGAACCUCAAAGAAAUACACUGAACAAUUUGCUGAAAAAAUCCAGGGUCAUCUUAUACACUGAUAAGAGCCAGUGGAUAGCUCUAGGCACCUGGAGCAAUGACAGUGGUUGCAGCCUUACCUUUUUAAGUUUAGAAAUUUUGACAUUUAAUUUGAGGUUGUCAGAUUAAGAAGGCUAUGAUAGGAUAAUUAAUGAUUUUUUAAAACUAGUUUUCUUUAUUCGACUGCUAGAUGCAGCCCAAAUUAAUUUUGAGAUGACAUUUACCACCAUCAUGUUUUAUCAAGUCAUUUCAUUAGGUUAUGGAUAUUGAGAACAGACAUUAAAUGAGGUGUAAUGUCUGGUUGUACUUGCUAAUUCUUUCACUUAAUAAGAAUCCAUAAAAAAAAAAGAUUGGUUACAUUGAUGAGAUAUGUAAAUUACUUUAAGUUAACUUGUUUGAUUACACUAAGCGUAGUCAAAUUUUUUAAAUGAUAAUGUAUCAUUUCAUAUCUGUUUAAAUCUUUUAAUAUAUUAAUUUUCAUGUUCUUCAGAAUUUUUCUAAAGCAUUUUAUUUUCAAACUUAGGAGGUCUGAUAAAGAAUUAGUACAUGUUUUUGUUCACUUCGGGAAUAAUGUGUAGCACGGAAAAUAUCUUUCUUGUUUAGCUCUAAGAUUUGCCAAAGUGGAGAGAGAGAAAAAACAAUUUCAAGGUCAAUAUGAAUUAAGUAUUGUAAGUUUUGUUCAUUUUAGUGACUUUUGAAGAGAGGUGAAUGAUAGAGAACCAAAUUCUAGAUCUUGAGUUUGUAGUUGUCAUUUUAGGAAUGGUGUUGAAGAGUGAAGUCCAGAAAUAUUUAAGAGAAAUACAAUAAUCUCUUCAAGUGAAUAAUGGCCCAAAGAAAAUCUAAAGGAGAAAUAAAGAGAGAAUCAGCUAGAGAAAGAGGAAAGUUAGAUAAUUAACUAAACUAAAAAUAUUACCCUAUAGUUUGAAUUGGAAAGUGCUAAAUGCCAAUUAAAAAAUGUGAGGAAAGAGAAGAGUAUGAAAGAAGUCAUUCAGUUUUUUCAUUGAUAACAAAAGUUUAUGUAUGAAAAGUGGACUUCCAAAUAAACAUAUUAAAUUUAGUUGUUAGUUUUGUAAAAAUAUUAGAAGGAAAUAUAUUUUUAUGACUUGUGGUAGAUCUUCUUUUACUAGAAGAUCAGAUUAUUAUAACUAAAGAAGCUCAAACAAACUAUUCUAAUUUUAAUCUUGCCCAGAUGAAUGAGAAAUAUUCUCUGUAAAGGUGUAGGUUUAAUGCAGGAGAACUAUACAAGUUUUCUGUGUAUGCCUAAAUCAUUUUCUUGGUGAUUACAAUAUGGUCAUUGAUUGAAUUUUCAUUAAAAUAUGUACUCCAUGUCUCAGGAAUGAACAAAAGCUCAUCUACUUUUUAUACAGUGGAAUGAACACACAAAGCACUUCUUGGAGUUGCUUCAAAUGCUACUAUCACAUUGAUCAGUGAUAUCUUUCUUAGCUCAGUGUCAGACAAACCAACAGUGUAUAAUAUUGCUGGUGAUUUCAUUCUUGACGAGAGCUUUUUAAUUCAAGACAUUGUUCCACCUGUAGAACCAUGAGCAUACCUCUUUUUUUAUUAGUCAUGAAAAAUUUGAAAGUUAAGUUGAUACAGAGUAUUGUUAAAUUUCAAGAUCCUUAACUUUAUUGCUAUUCUGAUAUUGUUUAUAAACUAUGGAUAUCAUGUUAUACUCCAGUAUUUCUCUAUUAGACUAUCUUUAAAUUUUCUCUUUACUGACCCUACCCUAUGAGGUGUGGAUGGUUAUGUAAGUAGGUAUAAAACAUUUUUUUUUAGCGUCGCAGAAGGGUAAUUUCCAUGUUUAGUGAAUUAGACUUAGUAGUGUUUAACAGAAGAAUCCAGAGGAGAGGCCAUUCAUCAGUCAUUGCUUCAUGAUUUGAUCCAAUAGUGACAGACAAAAA